rnacentral:misc_RNA from 1 species
UCUCCGUUGGUGAACCAGCGGAGGGAUCAUUACUGAGUGUAGAAACUCCCAAACCCCUGUGAACAUACCAUCUGUUGCUUCGGCGGGAUCGCCCCGGGCGCCUUUGCGUGCCCCGGAUCCAGGCGCCCGCCGGAGGACUCCAAACUCUUGUUUUAUAUGUGGCAUUAUCUGAGUGGCUUAUAGCAAAUAAAUCAAAACUUUCAACAAUGGAUCUCUUGGCUCUG